rnacentral:rRNA from 1 species
GAUAGCUUGCUAUCAAUGCUGACGAGCGGCGGACGGGUGAGUAAUGCCUGGGAAUAUGCCCUGAUGUGGGGGAUAACUAUUGGAAACGAUAGCUAAUACCGCAUAAUCUCUUCGGAGCAAAGAGGGGGACCUUCGGGCCUCUCGCGUCAGGAUUAGCCCAGGUGGGAUUAGCUUGUUGGUGGGGUAAUGGCUCACCAAGGCAACGAUCCCUAGCUGGUCUGAGAGGAUGAUCAGCCACACUGGAACUGAGACACGGUCCAGACUCCUACGGGAGGCAGCAGUGGGGAAUAUUGCACAAUGGGGGAAACCCUGAUGCAGCCAUGCCGCGUGUAUGAAGAAGGCCUUCGGGUUGUAAAGUACUUUCAGUUGUGAGGAAGGCAUUAAAGUUAAUAGCUUCGCUGUUUGACGUUAGCAACAGAAGAAGCACCGGCUAACUCCGUGCCAGCAGCCGCGGUAAUACGGAGGGUGCGAGCGUUAAUCGGAAUUACUGGGCGUAAAGCGCAUGCAGGUGGUUUGUUAAGCAAGAUGUGAAAGCCCGGGGCUCAACCUCGGAACAGCAUUUUGAACUGGCAGACUAGAGUACUGUAGA